rnacentral:lncRNA from 1 species
GGAGACUCAUGUCUCCUGCCUCCUACCAAAAAAAAAAAAAAUCGUGUAAUCUUUUCUCAUUGUUUGCAAUAUUUGAUGUAUUUUACAUUAAUUAUAAAGUUAAUAAAUUUCAAUGUCUUUUAAUUGCUAAAUUAUUUGGACUGUGGUGUAAAAUUUAUAUUAUACUAGUACAUUUCCUAUAUAUUAUUCUUGGAGUAUUGAUUAAAUGACAAUCUUGUGCAUCAUGCUUACUUGUCAAGCUGAG